rnacentral:rRNA from 1 species
UACGUAGGUGGCAAGCGUUGUCCGGAUUUACUGGGCGUAAAGCGUAUGCAGGCGGAUACUUAAGUAGGAAGUGAAAGGUGGGAGCUCAACUCCCACAUUGCUCCCUAUACUGGGUGUCUUGAGUGGCGGAGAGGGAGAUGGAACGACACGUGUAGCGGUGAAAUGCGUAGAUAUCGAGAGGAACACCUGCGGCGAAGGCGGGUUGCUGGGCUGAUACUGACGCUGAGGAGCGAAAGCAUGGGGAGCGAACAGG